rnacentral:RNase_P_RNA from 1 species
CGAGUCGGUCGGGCGGCCGCGGUGCGAGUCCCUCGGGGCGAGCGCCGAGGAAAGUCCGGACUCCAGAGGGCAGGGCGGUGGGUAACACCCACCCGGGGUGACCCGCGGGACAGUGCCACAGAGAACAGACCGCCGUCGGUGCUCGCACCGGCGGUAAGGGUGAAACGGUGGUGUAAGAGACCACCAGCGCGGCGGGUGACCGUCGCGGCUCGGCAAACCCCACCCGGAGCAAGGUCAAGAAGGGUGGCUCCGGCCACCUGCGCAGGCGUUCGAGGACGGCCCGUCCGAGCCUGCGGGUAGACCGCACCGAGGUCGUCGGAGACGACGGCCCCAGAUGGAUGGUCGCCCCCGGUCGUUCGCGACCGGGACAGAAUCCGGCUUACAGACCGGCUCGCCUG